AGGGAAGCGGCCCGCCCUUCGUCCUGCCCCUUCGCCCUACUCUGUCACCUCGCUGGAAGGAGUGGAACCCAGACUUGCUGGUCUGAUCCAUGCACAAGGCGCGGCUACGAGGCCACUGUGCCCGGGCAGGGAAGUCGGUGCGGUUGGCCAGCUCCGGGAUGACCCGCCGGGACCCGCUCACAAAUAAGGUGGCCCUGGUAACGGCCUCCACCGACUGAGCCUUACACAGGUUAUCUCUAGACCUGACAACAACCCAAGCAAGGCAAGGACUAUUCUCUCGGUCUGCAGACGCUGGCUCAGAUAGCUGGAGCAACUUCCCAAGGUCCCACAGCCAGUAAGGAAAGACCCAGACCUCCCAAGCUCCCUUCCUUUAUUGGCUGCCUGUGGACUACCAGGGCUUCAGUCCUUACAAUGUCAGUAAAACAGCCUUGCUGGGCCUCAACAAGACCUUGGCCAUAGAGCUGGCCCCAAGGAACAUUAGGGUGAACUGCCUAGCACCUGGACUUAUCAAGACUAGCUUCAGCAGGAUGCUCUGGAUGGACAAGGAAAAAGAGGAAAGCAUGAAAGAAACCCUGCGGAUAAGAAGGUUAGGCGAGCCAGAGGAUUCUCUUGGCAUCGUGUCUUUCCUGUGCUCUGAAGAUGCCAGCUACCUCACUGGGGAAACAGUGAUGGUGGGUGGAGGAACCCCGUCCCGCCUCUGAGGACCCGGAGACAGCCCACAGGCCAGAGUUGGGCUCUAGCUCCUGGUGCUGUUCCUGCAUUCACCCACUGGCCUUUCCCACCUCUGCUCACCUUACUGUUCACCUCAUCAAAUCAGUUCUGCCCUGUGAAAAGAUCCAGCCUUCCCUGCCGUCAAGGUGGUGUCUUACUCGGGAUUCCUGCUGUUGUUGUGGCCUUGGGUAAAGGCCUCCCCUGAGAACACAGGACAGGCCUGCUGACAAGGCUGAGUCUACCUUGGCAAAGACCAAGAUAUUUUUUGCCCAGGCCACUGGGGAAUUUGAGGGGAGAUGAGAGAGAAGGAAGCUGGAGUGGAAGGAGCAGAGUUGCAAAUUAACAACUUGCAAAUGAGGUGCAAAUAAAAUGCAGAUGAUUGCGCGGCUUUGAAUCGAA
rnacentral:lncRNA from 1 species